UUCCUACGGGAGGCAGCAGUGAGGAAUAUUGGUCAAUGGGCGAGAGCCUGAACCAGCCAAGUCGCGUGAGGGAGGACGGCCCUACGGGUUGUAAACCGCUUUCAGCAGGGAAGAUAUUGACGGUACCUGCAGAAGAAGCUCCGGCUAACUACGUGCCAGCAGCCGCGGUAAUACGUAGGGAGCGAGCGUUAUCCGGAUUCAUUGGGCGUAAAGCGCGCGUAGGCGGCUGCCUAAGCGGAACCUCUAACCCCGGGGCUCAACCUCGGGCCGGGUUCCGAACUGGGCGGCUCGAGUGCGGUAGAGGG
rnacentral:rRNA from 1 species